ACUUUAUUACAAAAUAAUUUAGAGUUUAUUUUUCUCGAAACUCUCGACGCUAGUACAGCUUUUCUAGUGACAGACCGAAUUAAUUAAAUAAAUAUCUUGCUGAUUUACAUUAUUAAAUGAGAUUUAAAUCUUGUUUGAAUGCAAAUUAUAGAUGUGAAAUCAUUUGAAACUGCCCUAGCGGGUAUCGAAAUCAGAGGGUAGAGGUGAAAUUUAGACCACCACGACAACGCGCCAUUACACAGACGACAUUAGAGAAGCUGAACCUAAUUGCCAAUAUGCAAUUCGAUGACAAUAGCCGAUGCUCGACACCCCUCAAAAUAAAUCCCUAGUCAUUCUAUGCUCACGGGGUCAAAGUUUGCAUCAAAGAUGGCGUGUGAUUGAUAGUGAUGAUGAUUACCUACAAGACUGAACUGUAAUCAUUGUUGAGUUAAUUUUCGAUAAUUAUUUUUUUUUCAAGAUGUCAAAAUGCCACAUCUUUCAGUUUGAUUCUCCAAAAUCCAGACAGAUCAAAGGCAACCAAAAUUGUCGAAAAUAGUGUACAUUUCUCCAAAUCUUAUCUUUCCAUAUGGCAGUGUGUACAUUUUUUAAACGUUUGCUGAAAGUUUGUAGAAGAACACAAUGUAUCAACUAUCGCAAUGUAAUCCCGAGCCCUGCCAGUCGAAAUUUGCCAGCCUUAAGAAUGUUAAAUUGUCAUCCUGGGACCAAGAAGCAAAGUUGAAAGAAGCCACGUGGUAUCGGAGGACGGGUAGAUGGAAAUCAUCCGUGGACAAAUCCGGAAAACGCUUGCUGCACUGACGAUUUUUGGAAUUAAGAAAAUAAAAUAUUCCAGAAGGAAAAACAGUUUAUUGAACAGAAAAACGUUUCUUAUUGACAGUUGUAUAAAACACGAGAAACUAAAGAACGUUUGAAGUCAUUUUGUAGUAAUUUGACAUAGAAAACAUUUUAAAUGAAUUAUGUGGAAUUUCCGUCGUAAAUUCGGUGACAUUUCUGGUUUCGAUUUGAAGCGUUUUUCAAUUUUAAGAGACCGGAAAAAAUGGAAUGUAAUGUACUUGCCAUCUGAAAUGAAGAAUUUAGUUAAUUAUCACAUAUUUUUUAUAACAAUUAAACAAAUUAACUUCACAUAACAUAAAUAAUCAAACCUUAAAAGGGAUCUUCUUAUCGAUGAUCAAGAAUCCUCCUAUCGAAAGACUUAAACUUACUUUUCCGAAUCUUUUCAUAAAAUUGAGAAUCUACAAAGAUGAGAAAUUAAAAUUAAAUGAAUUUUCCUAUUUUUUUGGUUUUCCGCUUUGAGGACACUACGAAAGCAUUUUUUGCAGGCCUAUCGUGGAUUGUCAGAGAUAGAGCCUUUCUAAGACAAGACAGACUCGAUCCCGGGUGAUCUGCUUUGGUUUUCGAAAUCGAGUCUGCUUCGGUUUGAAAAUUUAAUAGAUGGGUUAUUUGGUUAUAACGGGUUUUUUUCUCACCAUUCGGCCACUCUAACGUGGACCUGGACGAAUCCACGAGAGGCAUGCUUAUAAGAUCGUUCUAAGAUGCUCACAAAAUGGAUGAGAACAAAUGUGAAAACAAAUGUUUAAGACUGAUUAUGGAAGUUACAUACCUUUAAUUUUUGAUUCUUUCCAAUGGUGCAUCCAGAAAAUUGCCUGAUGUCUUGAAAUGUAUUCUGCAUCUGAAAUAAGAAGAAUAGUAAGAGAGUACGGAAGAAAAAUAAGUACAAAUACGAUAUAAUUACCACGAAUGCCAAAGAGCAUAGCAGACAGCCGCAUAUAAUGCAAAUAAAUGUGCUUAGUAUCGUUAAUGCUAGUGACAAGUAUUUUACAAAUUCAUUUAUUUCUACAAACAAAAGCAUGUAAUAAGAAAUACUUGUUCCCCAGAGGAUAAAGAAAUAGGUUGCACCAAAAAUAAAAUUAAAUUUGAUAUUCAGCUGAUCCACGAAAAUCCAAAGUUGUUCAUGAUGCAGCAUUAACGUAUUUAUUUUUCUUAGUAAACGAGUGUCGUUUCUCUUUAUUGCAGAAAGUUCAGUAGAGAGUUGCUCGAAUUCUUUAUGAGAGAUAAACAUUAAUAAUGCUCCCAGAAAUAAGAAAAGUCCGAUUCCACCUAUGAGAAGAGACGAUCCGAUGCAUUGUUGAAUGCUGCACAGAACAGCUUCCCCAAUAAAUUUCUGCUUUCUUUGUAAAGCCGGAAACGAAAACAGCAAGAAUAAAAUUUGACAUAAGACAAUACAUACCAAUAUAAUUAAACAAACGAGUAGUGUGACAUUUCUGAUUAAGUCAUUAUUUUCGUAAAUCAUCUUCGUGUAAAAGUAUGGAUUUCUCAAUUUCUUUCUCAAAUCGAAUUUUGUGUUUCUGAUGAAUGUAAAUCCAGUUGAAUAAAAUAGAAAUAGAACAAAAAAUGUUAUUUUAA